CGCUGGGUUUGGGGGUGGUGUGUAGUAUGGCAGCGAAGGAUAGGGAGGCGCGUCCCUAGCUAGGAGUGCUGGGAGUUAUGGUGUCUUAACGGUUUGCAGCCCAUUGGUCGCCGACCUGAGAACUACAAUCCCAGCAUGCGCUGUCUGUCCUCCCCCGUGGUGCGCAGCCCUGGAGGAAGGGACAGGGCGGUGUGGGCCUCCGCCUUUCCUAAGCGGUGCCACCCCCUCGCCAAGGGAGUCCGGAGAAGGACUUGAGGGGCAGGUCUGGCUGGGCGAUGAGGACGGUGUGACGCUGCGAAGUGCACCUCCCUUGCUCAAAUCGGAGGGGUCUGGUCCUCACUGAACAGCCCGCUGAACAUCUCGGUGUCCUCUCACAUACACACCCGCGGGGGGUUUCCAGAGCAUCGCACCUCUUCCAGCCCAGGGAGCCGCCUGCUGUGCUAAACUCUAUGGGAACUGAGACAUCCAUCUGCUGCGUGGCCCACCCGUGCGCAACUUCAGAGCUUUCAAGGGGUGAUGCAGGCUGUGGCUCCUUCGCGAAAAUGUCACCCUCUACAGCCCCUUUCCUGUGAUAUAGAAGUUGACGCGUGAGAGAGAGUAUUUAUUGGGUUACCCAGGAUCUGCUAACAGCAGAGGAGAAAACCACAAUUUCCAGGCAUAAUAAUCUACCUAAAGAUGAUGGUUUAGAUGUUUUACAGUUGAAAUCACCAGCCUCACCUCAACUGAGUCCUGACUGACGAGUGUCUCAAAAACACAGUUGGUGACCUGAUCCCUCAGGAACAGGUGGUGCUGCAGCUUUGAGGGGAUGCCUUUCAAGGUGCAGAGCACUUGGGCAGCAUUGGAAGUCGUUCAUGUUUUACAUCUCUGCUUUGGAUGGAAAGUUGAUCACCCACAGCCGUUGGGGAUGUACCUUAAUAUGCUGGGGCUUAUCCGUUAAAUUUUUCUGUCUAGACAAUGAAAACCCAGAAGUUCCACUUGCAGGUUCCUGUGAAUGAAGUUGCAAAUAUUGAUGAAGAUAAUACUACUGCCUUGCUGUCAAACACUAACAGUCGCCUUUUUUUGUAUCUCCAAUUAUAAAUGCAAUACAUACUGUAAAAAGAAAAGAACACAUCAUAAAUAUCUUUAUAAAGCAAAAGUCUUGGCUGGUGGCCAGGAGCAGUGACUCAUGCCUAUAAUCUCAGCACUUUGUGAGGCCGAGGUGGGUGGAUCAUGAGGUCAGGAAUUUGAGACCAGCCUAGCUGACAUGGUGGAACCCCGUCUCUACUAAAAAAUACAAAAAUUAGCUGGUCUCGGUGGCGGGUGCCUGUAAUCCCAACUACCCACGAGGCUGAGGCAGGAGAAUCACUUGAACCCAGGAGGCGAAUGGUGCAGUGAGCCAGGAUCAUGCCACUGCACUCUAGCCUGGGCAACAGAGUAAGACUCCAUCUCAAAAACAAAACAAAACAAAAAACUUGGUUGGCAUAGUGGCUCAAUCCCAGCACUUUGGGAGCCCAAGGCAGGUGAAAUGUUUGAACCCAGAAGCUCAACUCUAGUGUGGGCGACAUGGUAAAACCCUCUCUCUACAAAAAUACAAAAAGUAACCAGUUGUGGUGAUGUACACCUGUAUUCCCAGCUACUAGGGAGGCUGAGGUGGGAGGAUUGUUUGAGCCUGGGAGGCCAAGUUUGCAGUGAGCUGUAAUCACACCACUGUGCUUCCAUGUGGGCAACAAAGUGAGACCCUGACCCAAAAAAUAAAAA